GAUCAUGGCUCAGGAUGAACGCUGGCGGCGUGCCUAAUACAUGCAAGUCGAACGCUUCACUUCGGUGAAGAGUGGCGAACGGGUGAGUAAUACAUAAGUAACCUGGCAUCUACAGGGGGAUAACUGAUGGAAACGUCAGCUAAGACCGCAUAGGUGUAGAGAUCGCAUGAACUCUAUAUGGAAAGUUGCUACGGGACUGGUAGAUGAUGGACUUAUGGCGCA
rnacentral:rRNA from 1 species